rnacentral:rRNA from 1 species
GUGUCAGCCGCCGCGGUAAGGCUCGUGUAGAUCUCGAGCGUUGUUCGGAUUCACUGGGUGUAAAGGGCGCGUAGGUGGUUGUCUGUGUCUCAUGUGAAAACCCAGGGCUCAACUCUGAGAUUGCGUGGGAAACUAGGCAGCUAGAGGACGGUAGAGGGGAGUGGAAUUCCCGGUGUAGCGGUAAAAUGCGUAGAUACCGGGAGGAACACCGGUGGCGAAGGCGGCUCUCUGGGCCGAUCCUGACGCUGAGGCGCGAAAGCUAGGGUAGCGAACCGGAUUAGAUACCCGGGUAGUCCUAGCCGUAAACGAUGGGUGCUAGGUGUUGGGGGGCAAAGACCCUUCAGUGCCGAAGCUAACGCGAUAAGCAUCCCACCUGGGGAGUACGGCCGCAAGGUUGAAACUUAAAGAAAUUGGCGG